GCUUGGCCAGCGUAAGGGGUUUACAAUAGGAAAUUUCUGCACUCUUACGCUCACGCCAGUGUGUGUGUGUGUACACCUUUCUGUUUCUCACGACAGUGACACUGGCACUGGCCGUAACAUUUCACGACUUUUUCUUCUUCGCUUAAUUUUCUCUAAGGUUCAUCGUCAGCGGAGUGUUAAUGCGUUUGGCUCUACAAAUGUUUGGGGAUCGCCACAACUACUAACGCACGCAAAAAAAAUCACUACUGACCAAUACAACAAAUACGCUGUGCGGGUAAUAAGUAGGAGAUUGGCAGCAAGCUCACUCAAAUGGCAUUAGCAGCGGCAGCAACAGCAACAGCAGCAGUAGCAGCAGCUCGCACACUUACACACGCACAUACAAAAGUUUCUAGAAAACGCACACGGAGUGACUAGAGCAGUCAUGACAGCAUAACAUUAGAGUAUGUGUAGUAGGAGCAGGCUAGUCGAUCUGUCAGCCAGUGAAGCCAGCUAGUCAGUCCGCCAGCCAGUUGGGCACUUAGCUAGUCAGCCAGCGAGGCAGCCAAACAGCGCCAACGGAAGGAACAGCCGUAGAGCAGCAGCCACUCGGGCAGCCACUCGUGCAGUUAGCCAGUUAGCACGCCAACCAGCAAACCAACAAACCAACUAACCAGGCAGCUAGGCAGCCAGCCAGCUAGUCAGCUAGUCGGUCAGGCGGCAGUCAGCCACCGCAUAUUCGCACACUCAGCGAACGCAACGCAACACAUGCAAAAAGUUACUCGCUUGCAACGAACGAGACGAGACACGCAACGACUAAGAACGGAUCGCAAUAGCGGUUGCAGCAGCAAUAAGUAGCUAACUCGAAGACCAGCGGCGGCUAAACAUAUAAUAGUAAAAGGCGGAAAGAAAUUUUACUUUACCAGAAAAUGUAGAAAAGUAAACGAAGUUUUCAAUAAUAAAAAAAAAAAUGUGAGUGAAUAUUUAGGAAAAUUUCAAAAACUUACAAAAUAAUGCAACGGAAUUUGCAAAAUUAACUGGAAAACGUGUUUUAAAAUCGGCGGUAAAUAGUCGAAGCGGGAAAAGCGUAAAUGUUGUGCGCAUAGCGGAAGUAUAGCAGUGAGAAAGUGCGAUCAAUAAUAAAUUUUUAAAGAAAGAUAUCACAAAUCGCACAUAAAUCGUCAUAAACGGAAAAAAUGAAAUCAAAGCGAAGUACUGUUGCGUUGGAAAAUGUGAAAAAUUAGCCAGAAAAAAAGCUAAAAACAACUGGAGCUAAAUAAAAAAAUGCAUAUACGCAAAAAAGGCGUGCAAAGUGAAAAUUAAGCAAAAAUUUACAAGAAAUUUCAAUGAAAAGAAACCCAAACCAAAUUUUGAAUGUUUCAACUUAACUGUGAAAAACUAUUUCGACAAACCUUUGUGCUACAAAUCAUAUAAAUUACGUGAAUGCUUGCAAAAAUUGCGAAAUUUCCGAUAACCAAUAAUAAUACAAAACAAAAAAAAAAUCAAAACAAUUUCAAACAAAAAAUUGUGCAUAAAAUUGUUGAAAAAAUUGUUCUGAGAAAAAGCGAAGAAAACAAAUCUCAAAAAUUUUUGCACUGCUGAGCAAGCAAAACAAUCAGCAAUCAAGCAUUUCGCUAGCAAAAGGACUGACAAAUAAGAGACAAGAAAAUUAUUAAACAAAUAAAAAACAAAUUAAACUUCUAGAAGCCCGGAUUUGACGUCUACAACGCAGACUUUACUGAUUCAGAAUUGUGAUUGGUUGAAAAUAUUUUACGUUGGAAGCAAAAAAAGUUACAAUUCUCUGCUUUUUCAUAUUUCUGUAAAUUCUGCUGUGAAAAAAAAAACGAACUACAGCCCAAGAAACAGUUGUUGCAAUACACAUUUUAGGGCAUUAAAGACCAACAAAAAAUAUAAUAAAAAAUUUCGACGCAAUAAAAUUACAAAAGCUAGAUUUUGUUGGUGAGGCACGAAAAAAAAAAUACCGAUUUGUGCAAAAAUAACUGUGCAACAAAACAAAAAAAAAAAAAAGAAAUCCAAACAAUAAUGUAAAAGUGCGGCAUAUGAGAAUUCAUUUUUUCACUUAUUUACAAAAAACAAAAAACAAAAUAGACUGCAAUUUUGACACGUCGAAAACACGGCAAAAAAUUAUAAAACAUUCUUCUUUAUUUGCGAAAAGCAAAAUCCAAAAAAAAAGUAUUUUUUGAACUGUUACGCGUUGUCUGCUCGUGAGCUGAGGAAAGUCGUAAUAAGCAGCAAAUAAAUUACAAAACAAAGAAGUUAUAAAAUAAUCGCACAGCGCACAAUUAUUUGUUUAAUUUGUUGUUGGUAUUUGAGUUGUCAAGCGGCAAGUGCAUUGUCCAGUUACUACCAAAUCUUAUUUGUUCUUCUCCCUACACCCGGCAUUCGCACGUUUUAUUUUGUUUUGUCCAAAUUUCCAACUUCCAACUAAUAAAAAAUAGUGAAAAAACUUUAUUGCAAAAUAAAAACAAAAAAACAAUUGCUAAUUAGAAUAAACGCUCAUCAAAUUUGUCACUUAAAUUUUUUUUGCACAACAAAAACGCUAUCAAAUUCACAAGACUUACUGCAUAUUAAAGCAUAACUGGUUUGUUGUGUGCGUGUGCGUGUGUGUAUGUGUGGCGCGUGUGGCAAAUCUACGUUCCAAUCAAUUUCACAAAUGGAUUACACCUUUGAUUCGCAAUCUGGACGGUAUACAGUAGCGAUUGCAGCCACCAGCAGCCCCAGUAGCAGCAGCAGCACCACCAGCAGCAUUCAUAUAAUAACGCCAACAACUACAAAAACAGCAGCAGUGAAUUCGAUUGCAAUAAUAAACUCAGCUGGCACUACGUACGCCAUAAAAAACUUCACUCUGACAGGAAGCGAGCAGAUAGUGAAUUGUUUUUAAAUUUUUACUUUAUGUGAAGCCUCAUUCAAAAACCAACAAAGUCAAAAUUCCAAAUUUAAAUCCAACAUUUACACUGAAAGUGAAACAGCAGCAGCACACACUCACUCAAUCACUCCUUCAGCGAACAGUAAAAACAGAAUAACUUUGGCCUUCUCCCUUCUUUCAAUAUACUCGAAACAGACAUACCUACUUAAAAGCAACAACAACCUGUUGAACCAAAAAAUACAAAAAAACAAACUGCUAAUUAGACGCUAAUUAAUGAACCUAUAACUGUACUCUAACAAAAAUUAACGGCAGAAAAAAACGGAAAUUUUGCAAAGCACACGAAAAAUCUAAACUUUUUGUGAAUAGAAAAAAAAAACAAAAAACGGUACAAGUGAAAUCAAGAAAUUAAACAUUUCGGCAUUUACCAAAUGGCAUAACAACCAAAGUUAUAAUUGCAAUUUUAGUGUUUAACAAAAAAUACGGAAAUAAAAAAAGCUUAACAUUUUACUGAAAGUUCUUUCGGAGUAAAAGUUCUUUUCAUUUAAAUAUUUGCCUUAAAAAUAAUUAUUUUUCUUACGAAAACGUAUUUUGAAGUUGCAGCUCACCAAAGUGAAAGUUUGUUCUGAACAAUAAGUUUGCGAAAAGUCGAAAGCUCUUUAAAGUGAAAGCUCCGCUCAAGCCGAAAGCUCUUUUUAAAUCCAACAUUUUAUGCAAAAGCUCGUUUGAGGCAAAAGUUCGUGCGUUUAAGACAGUUAUUAGUUUGCGUUCAAAUCAAAAUUACGUUCGAUAACUCUUUUAAUGUCACAUUUCACAGCGCGUGCUCUCUCUCUUCCCUUCGUACACUCGUCACUUUAAUUUUUCAACAAAAAAAAAAAGAAUACUCUGUUUCCGUGUGGUUAUUUCUUUUGUUCUUGAAUCUGUGCAUGUUUUCAAGCUCGUAUGCAUUUGUUAUUUUUGUGCAUUUAAAUAUCAUAAAAAAUUAAAAAAGUAAAAAAAGAGAUAUUUAUUUGAAGCGAAGUAAGAAAAAGUGUGUUCUCAUAUAAGAAAACAAAAAAAAAAGAAAACAACAAAAUUUUUAAAACCAAAUCGUGUCAACUGUGUGAAAUAUUUCAAUUAAAUAACAGGCCCGAACAUAAGUCACAAGAACGGCGAACGAAACAUAACGGUUGUGUAUAAAGAAAAUCGACAACUAAAGCAAACAGCAACAGCAACAGCAAUACCAGCAACAACCGGCAACACGGCCAAGGAAAAUAGUUAUCUUAUGGAUUGCUGGACGGGUAACGCCCGACUGGCGAGUGUUUUAGUUUAAGGUGAGUUGAUUUACUCGUGGAAAAGAUUUCAUUGCACUCAUGUCCUUCCCAUAACGGUAUGUAUACAAGUACGCAAAUUCAAUUAUCUUCUGAAAGACUUCUUACAUACAAACUUCAACCGUGCGCGAUGUGGCCUAAUGCCUCGCAGUUGGUUAUUAAGUGUUCCAUAGACUCCUCUUCAUCACAGUAGAACCUGCAUAAUCUUGUACCAGAUAACACUAUUGUGUUAAAGUG